rnacentral:misc_RNA from 1 species
AAAUACCUUAUCCCAAACCAAUGUGGAACAACAAUAACCAGAAGCACGAGACAAGUGAUGGUAUGUAAACAUGCACAAGCAAAUUGUAAAUAAUUCCAUUGGAUUAGUAGCCCAAUAAUCAAGUUUUGACAAGAAAAAUUCAUAAUCCUAUUUCACCUAGACUUGAGGAUUCUAUGGAUUACUGUAAAGUGGUCAGAGCUUAUGACAAAGGUCCUAAAGUAUGCGUGAAAACAAACAGAAAGCCCUUAUUUUACGGCCCAAUUGACCUAACCAUAAAAGAGAUCAUAAGAUUUGACAGAGCUACAAGAUGUAAUCAACAUAUUUUUUGCACCCAACUUAUGUCAGAUAAAACCAGAUAUACACCAACAAAACCUAAAUUUGACACACUUCCUAGUCCAAGAGAUAAACCUAAUGGCAUCAGAAUAAGCAUUCCUCUCUUAAGUUAUAUGGUUUAGCCAGCAUUCCUACUCUUUAAAAGACCUGAAUUUAGAGCUAUCAUUAAUUAGUAUAUGAUUCCUAAAGAACUUUGAUUAUGUUUAUUUAGCAUAACAAUUAUAAACAGGAAACAAUUAAAAGCAUAUUGCAUGCCAUAUGACAGAUGCCAACCAU